rnacentral:rRNA from 2 species
GACUCACGCGGGAAUCUUACCGGGUCCGGACACACUGAGGAUUGACAGAUAUACGCUCAUGCGUGCUUCGGCGCGCUGGGCUGAAAGAUGCUAGUUCUUUCAUGAUUAUGUGAUAGGUGGUGCAUGGCCGUUCUUAGUUCGUGGAGUGAUCUGUCUGCUUAAUUGCGUAUCAAUAAUAGAGACCUAGUAUACGCGUGGAUUUCGUGUGGUAGUGACCCCCUGUUUAACGACAGGCGUGUGUCGCACACGCGUACCUACGCACUGGUCUCAGAUAGCAACGAACGUGACCGUAUUCUAUUGUUGCAGUGAAAUGUGCCUUCGGGUACGACCCACUGCUUAGUAUAUGUACGUGCUUCGGCGCGCACAAUAUACAUUAAACUAUAGAGACCGCUGUUUCUUCUUUAAACCAGAGGAAGGAUACGGCAAUAACAGGUCUGUGAUGCCCUCAGAUGUUCCGGGCUGCACACGUGCUACAAUGAUCAUUGCACUGUGCAUCUAACCCAAUGUGCGCGGACGCCGCAUGCAUGUGCUCUUCACGGAGUACACGCAUUGCUGUUGCGACCGCGCCGAACCUACUUCGAAAGUAAAAUUUCUCAGUGGGUAAUCCAUUAGAAGUAAUGACUCGCAUAGACCAUGGCACAACUAAAUGUACGCGCAGGUUCUACCCGGCUCGCCUUUGUGUGAGUGCAGUGCGUAGCUUGUUGUUUCGUACGUGCCACUCCGUAUUAAUUCGUACGUGGGGAUAGAUCAUUGUUUAAUUGUUGGUCUCGGUCUUAACUAGGAAUGC